GCCGAGGUGGUGAAAUGGUAUACACGCUAUCUUGAGGGGGUAGUGCCUCUUAGUUUGGCAUACGGGUUCAAUUCCCGUCCUCGGUA
rnacentral:tRNA from 2 species